AAAUUGAAGAGUUUGAUCAUGGCUCAGAUUGAACGCUGGCGGCAGGCCUAACACAUGCAAGUCGAACGGUAACAGGAAGAAGCUUGCUUCUUUGCUGACGAGUGGCGGACGGGUGAGUAAUGUCUGGGAAACUGCCUGAUGGAGGGGGAUAACUACUGGAAACGGUAGCUAAUACCGCAUAACGUCGCAAGACCAAAGAGGGGGACCUUCGGGCCUCUUGCCAUCGGAUGUGCCCAGAUGGGAUUAGCUUGUUGGUGGGGUAAC
rnacentral:rRNA from 1 species